rnacentral:rRNA from 1 species
UACGUAGGGCGCGAGCGUUGUCCGGAUUUAUUGGGCGUAAAGAGCUCGUAGGCGGUUUGUCGCGUCUGCUGUGAAAUCUCGGGGCUUAACCCCGGGCCUGCAGUGGGUACGGGCAGACUAGAGUGCGGUAGGGGAGAGUGGAAUUCCUGGUGUAGCGGUGAAAUGCGCAGAUAUCAGGAGGAACACCGGUGGCGAAGGCGGGUCUCUGGGCCGUAACUGACGCUGAGGAGCGAAAGCGUGGGGAGCGAACAGG